UGACAACCCUAGAGAUAGGACUUUCCCUUCGGGGACAGAGUGACAGGUGGUGCAUGGUUGUCGUCAGCUCGUGUCGUGAGAUGUUGGGUUAAGUCCCGCAACGAGCGCAACCCUUGAUCUUAGUUGCCAGCAUUCAGUUGGGCACUCUAAGGUGACUGCCGGUGACAAACCGGAGGAAGGUGGGGAUGACGUCAAAUCAUCAUGCCCCUUAUGACCUGGGCUACACACGUGCUACAAUGGACAGAACAAAGGGCUGCGAGACCGCAAGGUUUAGCCAAUCCCACAAAUCUGUUCUCAGUUCGGAUCGCAGUCUGCAACUCGACUGCGUGAAGCUGGAAUCGCUAGUAAUCGCGGAUCAGCAUGCCGCGGUGAAUACGUUCCCGGGCCUUGUACACACCGCCCGUCACACCACGAGAGUUUGCAACACCCGAAGUCGGUGAGGUAACCUUUAUGGAGCCAGCCGCCGAAGGU
rnacentral:rRNA from 2 species